GAUGAACGCUGGCGGCGUGCCUAAUACAUGCAAGUCGAGCGAACAGACGAGGAGCUUGCUCCUCUGACGUUAGCGGCGGACGGGUGAGUAACACGUGGAUAACCUACCUAUAAGACUGGGUUAACUUCGGGAAACCGGAGCUAAUACCGGAUAAUAUAUUGAACCGCAUGGUUCAAUAGUGAAAGACGGUUUUGCUGUCACUUAUAGAUGGAUCCGCGCCGCAUUAGCUAGUUGGUAAGGGAACGGCUUACCAAGGCAACGAUGCGUAGCCGACCUGAGAGGGUGAUCGGCCACACUGGAACUGAGACACGGUCCAGACUCCUACGGGAGGCAGCAGUAGGGAAUCUUCCGCAAUGGGCGAAAGCCUGACGGAGCAACGCCGCGUGAGAGAUGAAGGUCUUCGGAUCGUAAAACUCUGUUAUUAGGGAAGAACAAAUGUGUAAGUAACUAUGCACGUCUUGACGGUACCUAAUCAGAAAGCCACGGCUAACUACGUG
rnacentral:rRNA from 1 species